GCGGGUGUAGCUCAGUUGGCAGAGCGUUAGCUUCCCAAGCUGAAGGCCGUGGGUUCGAACCCCAUCACCCGCU
rnacentral:tRNA from 1 species